UUUAUCUAAAACUGCAUAUUUGUACAGAGGUUGGCGGAACUGUAGUUAAGUCGUGUUUUCCCUCACUUGGGGUUGAGCCUUCAUGUACAGAAGUUGGACCAGUGAAAACCUGCAUUUGUGACUCCGAUGGAUGUAACAAGAACUUCGAUACUGCAGGAGCAGGAGCCCUGGCUGUUGGAUUAAUGGCGGUUCUGGGAUCCAUCCUGCUCCGAUCCAUUCUUUAAAUCCAUCCUGCUCCGAUCCAUUCUUUAAAUCCAUCCUGCUCCAAUCCAUUUCCACUCUUCUUCCUCCAUUCCACUUUUCCCAUUUUCUCUUUUCAACUUCAUUCUUCAAUGCUCAACACUUUCUUCCAUUUCCUCAUGGCCAUUUUUUUCCUUAAUAUAUCUACAAUUAAAAAAUCUUCGUAUAAAAGUUUUUAAAAACAAUGAUAUGGAUGAACAGGGACAAUAGUAAACGGAAAAAUGUUAUGAAA